rnacentral:rRNA from 1 species
AUGCAGCAUGAGAAGAAUCAGGAGAGGAAUUUUUGUGCUUAUAAAUUAGACCUGUCUAAGGCCUAUGAUAGAGUAGAUUGGGGUUUCCUGCGACAAGCGAUGCAAAAGAUGGGCUUCGCUCACAAAGGUGACCCUUUGUCCCCGUUCUUGUUUCUGCUUGUGGCUGAUGGUCUCUCUGCGCUUCUCAGACAGGGUAUGAAGAGGCAUGUGAUUGAUCCGGUGAAAGUGUGCACCAACGCGCCGGGUAUAUCUCAUCUUUUAUUUGCGGACGACACACUUUUAUUUUUCAAAGCUAGCCAUGACCAAGCUGUUCAUAUCAAGGAAAUCAUAGCCACAUAUGCUAGCGCUACUGGCCAACUCAUUAAUCCACAAAAGUGUUCAAUUCAGUUUGGUGAGUGUUGUGCAGAUGUGGACAAAUAG